rnacentral:rRNA from 1 species
UACGUAGGGUGCAAGCGUUAAUCGGAAUUACUGGGCGUAAAGCGUGCGCAGGCGGUUAUGUAAGACAGGUGUGAAAUCCCCGGGCUUAACCUGGGAACUGCAUUUGUGACUGCAUAGCUAGAGUACGGUAGAGGGGGGGAUGGAAUUCCGCGUGUAGCAGUGAAAUGCGUAGAUAUGCGGGAGGAACACCGAUGGCGAAGGCAAUCCCCUGGACCUGUACUGACGCUCAUGCACGAAAGCGUGGGGAGCAAACAGG